rnacentral:rRNA from 1 species
GGAGUUAGCCGGUGCUUCUUCUGUGAGUGAUGUCCUUCCUGCCGGCUAUUAACCCGCAGGCCUUCUUCCUCACUGAAAGUGCUUUACAACCCGAAGGCCUUCUUCACACACGCGGCAUGGCUGGAUCAGGGUUGCCCCCAUUGUCCAAUAUUCCCCACUGCUGCCUCCCGUAGGAGUCUGGGCCGUGUCUCAGUCCCAGUGUGGCUGAUCAUCCUCUCAGACCAGCUACGGAUCGUCGCCUUGGUGAGCCGUUACCUCACCAACCAGCUAAUCCGACAUAGGCUCAUCCGAUAGCGCGAGGCCCGAAGGUCCCCCGCUUUCCCCCGUAGGGCGUAUGCGGUAUUAGCCUGGGUUUCCCCAGGUUAUCCCCCACUACCGGGCAGAUUCCUAUGCAUUACUCACCCGUCCGCCGCUCGCCACCAGGGAGCAAGCUCCCCGUGCUGCCGCUCGACUUGCAUGUGUUAGGCCUGCCGCCAGCGUUCAAUCUGAGCCAGAAUCGAAACCUCGACGACGUAGCGGC